rnacentral:rRNA from 1 species
GUGGGGAAUCUUCCGCAAUGGACGAAAGUCUGACGGAGCAACGCCGCGUGAGUGAAGAAGGUUUUCGGAUCGUAAAGCUCUUUCGUUAGGGACGAACGUGCUCUUUGUGAAUAAUGAGGAGUAAUGACGGUACCUAAAUAAGAAGCCACGGCUAACUACGUGCCAGCAGCCGCGGUAAUACGUAGGUGGCAAGCGUUGUCCGGAAUUAUUGGGCGUAAAGCGCGCGCAGGCGGGAUAUCAAGUCUGUCUUAAAAGUGCGAGGCUCAACCUCGUGAGGGGACAGAAACUGGUAUUCUUUAGUGUCGGAGAGGAAAGUGGAAUUCCAAGUGUAGCGGUGAAAUGCGUAGAGAUUUGGAAGAACACCAGUGGCGAAGGCGACUUUCUGGACGAUGUCUGACGCUGAGGCGCGAAAGCUAGGGGAGCGAACGGGAUUAGAAACCCGAGUAGUCC